ACUCAAAGGAAUAGACGGGGGCCCGCACAAGCGGUGGAGCAUGUGGUUCAAUUCGAUGCAACGCGAAGAACCUUACCUGGGUUUGAACUGCAACUGAAGAUUUCAGAGAUGGAAUUGUCUAGCAAUAGACAGUUGUAGAGGUGCUGCAUGGCUGUCGUCAGCUCGUGUCGUGAGAUGUUGGGUUAAGUCCCGCAACGAGCGCAACCCUUGCCUCUAGUUGCUCGGUCGUACGAUCAGCACUCUAGAUGGGACCGCCGGUGAUAAAUCGGAGGAAGGUGGGGAUGACGUCAAGUCAUCAUGGCCUUUAUGUCCAGGGCUACACACGUGCUACAAUGGCCGGAACAAAGGGUCGCAAAGCCGCAAGGUGGAGCCAAUCCCAUCAAAACCGGCCUCAGUUCGGAUUGCACUCUGCAACUCGAGUGCAUGAAGUUGGAAUCGCUAGUAAUCGCGGAUCAGCAUGCCGCGGUGAAUACGUUUCCGGGCCUUGCACACACCGCCCGU
rnacentral:rRNA from 1 species